CGGCGGCAGCCUACACAUGCAGUCGUACGGAGAGUGGGGCGACUCACUCUCAGUGGCAACGGGUGAGUACACGUGAAUAACCUGCCUUUGAGAAGGGGAUAACUGUCCGAAAGGAUAGCUAAUACCCUAUAUUGCCUUUUGUCACUAAGGCAAAAGGCGAAAGCAAGGCUGUCAAAGGCUUCGGCUCAAAGAGGGGUUCGCGUCCUAUCAGGUAGUUGGUGGGGUAAUGGCCUACCAAGCCAAUGACGGGUAGCUGGUCUUAGAGGAUAAUCAGCCACAGUGGGACUGAAACACGGCCCGCACCCCUACGGGGGGCAGCAGUGGGGAAUCGUGGGCAAUGGGCGCAAGCCUGACCCCGCAAUGCCGCGUGAGGGAAGAAGCCCUUCGGGGUGUAAACCUCUGUCAAAUGGGAAGAUGGGACUAGGGGCUAAUACCUCCUAGUCUUGACGGUACCAUCAAAGGAAGGGACGGCUAACUACGUGCCAGCAGCCGCGGUAAU
rnacentral:rRNA from 1 species